rnacentral:rRNA from 1 species
UACGUAGGGGGCAAGCGUUGUCCGGAAUCAUUGGGCGUAAAGAGCGUGUAGGCGGCCAGAUAAGUCCGCUGUGAAAUCUCGAGGCUCAACUUCGAGCUGUCGGUGGAAACUGUCUGGCUAGAGUCCGGAAGAGGAGAAUGGAAUUCUUGGUGUAGCGGUGAAAUGCGUAGAUAUCAAGAGGAACACCGGUGGCGAAGGCGGGUCUCUGGGCAGUAACUGACGCUGGAGAAGCGAAAGCGUGGGGAGCGAACAGG